rnacentral:rRNA from 1 species
UACAGGGGGUGCAAACGUUGCUCGGAAUCAUUGGGCGUAAAGCGCACGUAGGCGGUGAAUCGGGUUGAAAGUGAAAGUCGCCAAAAAGUGGCGGAAUGCUCUCGAAACCAAUUCACUUGAGUGAGACAGAGGAGAGUGGAAUUUCGUGUGUAGGGGUGAAAUCCGUAGAUCUACGAAGGAACGCCAAAAGCGAAGGCAGCUCUCUGGGUCCCUACCGACGCUGGGGUGCGAAAGCAUGGGGAGCGAACAGG